rnacentral:lncRNA from 1 species
CACAUUUAAAUUACUUACCUCUGUACCCAUUCUACAGAACUAUACUCAUUUACCUGUACUAUUUUGUUUCAUCCAUUCUUGAAUUUAGACAUGUGCAACAAUUUUUCUAACAAGUUGGAACAUUAUAACAGGACAUACAUAUCACUAAGACCAUUCAACACAGCCACUGAACUUACCUAAUUAUAUUUUUUCACUCUCAUCAUUACACCUCUUUUAUAUAUGUUUUUCUUUAAUUUCUUUCCCACCAGAUUUCACACUCGGCUCCACCAGCCCAACUCCCUAUUUGUUUUGAUCACACCAGAAUGUAACGCACGCACGUACACAGAGCUUGCACUUUACACAUCGAACCAAGCCCUUCAGAGCCUUCUCUUUCUCGACUACGUCUCUGGCCUCAUUUAUCACAUGCAUUUAGGAGAUUCACUCCCAUUCAAACUCUCUUAUAUCCGGUUCCCUCUGCUAACCGAACGUGGGUCAGCUGUUCCACAUCACACGACUAACAUAGGCCACAAACACACCAUAAUGACAAGCAUUGAUUUCCACAUCACACG